rnacentral:rRNA from 1 species
UACGUAGGGGGCGAGCGUUGUCCGGAGUUACUGGGCGUAAAGGGCACGCAGGCGGUGCGGCGCGUUUCGCGUGACAGCGGAGGGCUUAACUCUCCGAGGAUGCGAAAGACGGCGGCACUUGAGGGCCAGAGAGGGACACGGAAUUCCGGGUGGAGUGGUGAAAUGCGUAGAGAUCCGGAGGAACACCCGUGGCGAAAGCGAGGUCCUGGACGUUUUCUGACGCUGAGACGCGAAAGCCAGGGGAGCGAACGGG